UACGUAGGGUGCAAGCGUUUAAUCGGAAUUACUGGGCGUAAAGCGUGCGCAGGCGGUUUUGUAAGUCUGUCGUGAAAUCCCCGGGCUCAACCUGGGAAUUGCGAUGGAGACUGCAAGGCUAGAAUCUGGCAGAGGGGGGUAGAAUUCCACGUGUAGCAGUGAAAUGCGUAGAGAUGUGGAGGAACACCGAUGGCGAAGGCAGCCCCCUGGGUCAAGACUGACGCUCAUGCACGAAAGCGUGGGGAGCAAACAGG
rnacentral:rRNA from 1 species